rnacentral:lncRNA from 1 species
AUUUUAGAAAUUACACAAUUGUAGACUUUUUGAAAUCAAUGAGCUCAUAUUCCUCAUUUUGCAGUUAAGAAUUUAAAUGACUUGCCUCAGGCACACAUCUGUUGAGAAACCGAGCGGGGCUUGCUCUUGAUACCCAAGGCUGGGACACCAGGCUGGCCGUGCACCUUAGAGUCUUCCUUCCCCGGACUCCUUUGACUUAUCCAGCAACCGAGCAUCUGGCAAGGAGCUGGUCCCAGAGCAGAAACAAUUGGUGAUGAGAUUUGGACUUCAGACAAGCCUAGAUUUGAACCUCACUUCUGCUACAUAUCAGCCAUCUGGCCAUCUGACUUCAUCUCUCUGAGCCCGUUCCCUCAUCUGAAAAACAAACAUUGAUGCCUAAGGGUGGUUAUGAG